GAUGAACGCUAGCUACAGGCUUAACACAUGCAAGUCGAGGGGCAGCGCAGUGUAGCAAUACAUGGGCGGCGACCGGCGCACGGGUGCGUAACGCGUAUCCAACCUUCCCGUUACUCAGGGGAUAGCCUUCCGAAAGGGAGAUUAAUACCUGAUGGUGUUCAAAUUCCGCAUGUUAUUUGAACUAAAGAUUUAUCGGUAACGGAUGGGGAUGCGUGACAUUAGGUAGAUGGCGGGGUAACGGCCCACCAUGCCCACGAUGUCUAGGGGUUCUGAGAGGAAGGUCCCCCACACUGGAACUGAGACACGGUCCAGACUCCUACGGGAGGCAGCAGUGAGGAAUAUUGGUCAAUGGCCGGAAGGCUGAACCAGCCAAGUAGCGUGAAGGAUGAAGGUUCUAUGGAUUGUAAACUUCUUUAUACGGGAAUAAAACCACCUACGUGUAGGUGCUUGUAUGUACCGUAUGAAUAAGCAUCGGCUAACUCCGUG
rnacentral:rRNA from 1 species